GCGCGCCGGGAAUGUUUCUUUCGGCAGAUAUUAUAUAUUUGGUUAAGGGGGUGCAUUUCUGUUGUUUAAAAGGGAGGGAAAAGGGGGUGGAUGGUUUGUUCUUGGGGUCCCUGGUGCAAUCUCAGCUCCUCAUGGGUGCUAUUUUGCAACCUCAGGCGCCUGCUAUUGGUCAGCCCAUGAUCAGAUGGUUGUAUUUCCUUGUGUCCCUCGCUGGCACCACGCCAUCUCCCUUCAGCUAAAACCCAAUCUCCGAUAUACUACUAAUAGCUAAACCACUUGGACUAUAAAACACAACAAAUCAUAAAGCCGGGAAAGGACGGCAGGCUCCUUCCAAUGAGUUCUUAUUUUGUCAACUCGACCUUCCCGGUGAGUCUGGCGGCGGGGCAGGAGCCCUUCCUGGGACAGAUCCCGCUAUAUCCCUCGGGCUAUGCGGAUCCUUUGAGGCACUACCCCACCACCUAUGGAGCCACGGGCGUCCAGGAGAAGGGCUAUACCUCUUCUCCUUACUACCAGCAAAGCAACGGAGCCUACAGCCGCAGCUCCGCCUGUGACUAUGGGGCCGGCGGGUUUUUCAGGGAGAAGGACCCUGCGUGCGCCCCCCCCAACCUGGACGAGGUGCCCUUCGCCCCCGAGCCGCGCAAGUCGGACUGCGCGCAGAGCAAAACUGUGUUCGGAGAGAGCGAGGAGCAAAAGUGUUCCGCCCCGGUUUACCCCUGGAUGCAGCGGAUGAACUCUUGCAAUAGUGAGUUUACUCUUUUACAGAAAUAAAUACAUCAAUCUCCUCCCCCCCUUUCUUAUUUGUUACCGCCAGAGAGAGAGAGAGCGAGCGAGCGAGGGAAGCAGGAAUAAGGUUCACUUUAGAGCCUAAACUUCCAGCGGGGAAGUUAGGCGACACGAGAGGCUCCGACUUGCUCCUGACACGCACCAAAACUUCACGCCGCUGAAGUAUUUUCUCCCAG